rnacentral:rRNA from 1 species
CCAAUAGCGUAUAUUAAAGUUGUUGCAGUUAAAAAGCUCGUAGUUGAAUUUCGGGACCAGUAUGUUGGUCGUGCUUCGGUACGUACUGUCAUUACUGGUUUCUCCCUUCUGAAGAACCUUGAUGUCAUUAAUUUGGUGUCUUGGGGAAUCAGGACUGUUACUUUGAAAAAAUUAGAGUGUUUAAAGCAGGCAUACGCUUGAAUACAUUAGCAUGGAAUAA